ensembl:lncRNA
GUCUGUGUAGGCCUGUGUGUAUCUGUGUAGGCCUGUGUGUGUGUGUGUCUGUGUAGGCCUGUGUGUAUGUGUGUGUAUGUGUGUAGGCCUGUGUGUGUAUGUGUAGGCCUAUGUGUGUCUGUGUAGGCCUGUGUGUGUGUGUAGGCGUGUGUGUGUGUGUAUAUCUGUGUAGUCCAGUGUGUGUCUGUGUAGGCGCGUGUGUGUGUGUGUAUAUCUGUGUAGUCCAGUGUGUGUCUGUGUAGGUGUGUGUGUCUGUGUAUGCCUCUGUGUGUGUGUGUGUGUGUGUUAGUGUGAGCAUGUAGGCCUGUGUGUGUGUCUGUGUAGGCCUGUGUGUGUGUGUAUGUAGGUGUGUGUGUCUGUGUAUGCCUCUGUGUGUGUGUGUGUGUAUGUGUAGGCCUAUGUGUGUCUGUGUAGGCCUGUGUGUGUGUGUAGGCGUGUGUGUGUCUGUGUAGGCCUGUGUGUAUGUCUGUGUAGGUGUGUGUGUCUGUGUAUGCCUCUGUGUGUGUGUGUGUGUGUGUGUGUGUGUGUGUGUGACCCGCACUCACCAGUUCUAGGCGGUGGGCAUGACUCGGAGGCACACGGCAGCUUCAGGGCGUCCAUUCUGCUCGGGUGCUCAUCCAGCCUGCGCCAGGCUGAGAGCAGCGCUGGGCCCGCGCUUUACUGCCUGAGUGAGGACCAGCUCUGGGUGGGGUGUGCUGGGCCGGCUCCCGAGCCGCCUAGGGGAGCUGGUCCCCAGCCGACAGAGCUUCAUCCUGGGGUCACCCGACGGGCCGUGCGCCCCGCCACAGGGGCACUCUCCGAGGCCAAGCCCGCACCCGUCACAGAGCUGCAAGUAAGCCCUGAGCCCGAGGCGCCUGCUCACGCUGGCGCGGCGUCCUGUGCAGGGUCUACGGGAAGCGGCUGCGCCUGCGUGCGCGGGGCGACAGUGUGUGCGCGUGAGCCGGCCGCUGGGAAG